ACUGCUUAGCCUACUCCAGCUGGCCCCACCUCACCUCAUCGGCCCCGCCUCCUCCGCUCGCCCACUCCGGGCGCCCACUCCUGAGGAGCUAUCCCAGAGUCCGCGCGGCCUCGCCUUCCCGGCCCGCUCACCACCCCGCCUCGUCCCACCUCGCCUCGCCCUCCCCGGGCUCUAGCCACUUGGUGCGGCAGGUGUCCUGCAGGCCGGCUCGAGAUUCCCGAGCUCGCCCUCGUGGUGUUCCAGGAACACGAGUCUCGCUCGGGCACCAGGCUGGAGUGCAGUGGCACGGUCUCGGCUUACUACAACCUCCGCCUUCCGGAUUCAAGUGAUUCUGCUGCCUCAGCCUCCCGAAUAGCUGGGAUUACAGUGUUUCAGAAUCACCUGGGAUGAUCUGCAUGAAGAUUCCUGGCCUCCACCAAAGACUUACUGAAUCAGAAAGGAGGCAAGAGGAUGAGGAAUGCUUAAGAAUCUGCAUUAACAAACUUUACAAAUGAAUCUUACAACAUACAGAAGCAUGGAAACUACUGCCUCAAGGGAUUAUCUCAACUUGAGUUUAAACAUAGGAAUUGCUGACUACCUUUAAAAUGUAAAAAUAGUAUCUUUAUGGGAGGGAUGUUGUUUGGGGGCAGCUACUAAAUAGUGAAAUCAUUCCUUUAAAAUACCCUCUCAAGUCUGCCCCAGUUAUCCAUUUUACUGGAUAGUCUUGGUAUCCAGAUGAUUUAGGGAAAAAAAUAGUAGUAGCA